rnacentral:rRNA from 1 species
CAGCAGCCGCGGUAAUACAUAGGGUGCAAGCGUUAUCCGGAUUUAUUGGGCGUAAAGAGUUCGUAGGAGGUUUAUUAAGUCUAGAGUUAAAGACUGGGGCUCAAUCCCAGCACGCUUUGGAUACUGAUAGACUAAGAGUUAUAGAGAGAUUAGCGGAACUCCAUGUGAAGCGGUGGAAUGCGUAGAUAUAUGGAAGAACACCAAUGGCGAAGGCAGCUAAUUGGCUAUAUACUGACUCUGAGGAACGAAAGCGUGGGUAGCAAACAGGAUUAGAUACCCUGGUAGUCCACGCCGUAAACGAUGAUCGUUAGCUAGUGGAAUUAAUUCACUAGCGCAGCUAACGCGUUAAACGAUCCGCCUGAGUAGUAUGCUCGCAAGAGUGAAACUUAAAGGAAUUGACGGGGACCCGCACAAGCGGUGGAGCAUGUGGUUUAAUUUGAAGAUACGCAAAGAACCUUACCCAUUUUUGACAUCUUUUGCAAUACUAUAGAGAUAUAGUGGAGGUUAACAAAAUGACAGAUGGUGCAUGGUUGUCGUCAGCUCGUGCCG